UAGGGAAUCUUCCGCAAUGGGCGAAAGCCUGACGGAGCAACGCCGCGUGAGUGAUGAAGGUCUUCGGAUCGUAAAACUCUGUUAUUAGGGAAGAACAAAUGUGUAAGUAACUAUGCACGUCUUGACGGUACCUAAUCAGAAAGCCACGGCUAACUACGUGCCAGCAGCCGCGGUAAUACGUAGGUGGCAAGCGUUAUCCGGAAUUAUUGGGCGUAAAGCGCGCGUAGGCGGACUAGCCAGUCAGUCUUAAAAGUUCGGGGCUUAACCCCGUGAUGGGAUUGAAACUACUAGUCUAGAGUAUCGGAGAGGAAAGUGGAAUUCCUAGUGUAGCGGUGAAAUGCGUAGAUAUAUGGAGGAACACCAGUGGCGAAAGCGGCUCACUGGUCUGUAACUGACGCUGAGGCUCGAAAGCGUGGGGAGCGAACAGG
rnacentral:rRNA from 1 species